rnacentral:rRNA from 1 species
CCUACGGGUGGCAGCAGUGAGGAAUAUUGGUCAAUGGGCGCGAGCCUGAACCAGCCAAGCCGCGUGAAGGAUGACUGCCCUACGGGUUGUAAACUUCUUUUAUAAAGGAAUAAAGUGAGGCACGUGUGCCUUUUUGUAUGUACUUUAUGAAAAAGGAUCGGCUAACUCCGUGCCAGCAGCCGCGGUAAUACGGAGGAUCCGAGCGUUAUCCGGAUUUAUUGGGUUUAAAGGGAGCGGAGAUGGGUUGUUAAGUCAGUUGUGAAAGUUUGCGGCUCAACCGUAAAAUUGCAAUUAAUAAUGGCAGUCUUGAGUACAGUAGAGGUAGGCGGAAUUCGUGGUGUAGCGGUGAAAUGCUUAGAUAUCACGAAGAACUCCGAUUGCGAAGGCAGCUUACUAGACUGCCACUGACGUUGAUGCUCGAAAGUGUGGGUAGCAAACAGGAUUAGAUACCCGGGUAGUC